rnacentral:lncRNA from 1 species
GCUAUCUGUUUAUUCUUUUCUGGAGAGUUUCAUUUCUAUUGGACCUCGAUGAUUCACUGAUUGUUGCAUUUUAUUGUCCAUUAAACAUUGUAGUUUGCGGAUCUUCUAAAGGAUGCGAAUCCAAAACACUGUGAGGGAUUGCUGCAACUAUUUUACUUGGUUGAUCCAUUUCUGUCUGGUAGUUUGUAUUCUGCCUAGAUGAGCUUCCCAAACUGUCUUUAACUGACGGCGUAUUCAACUGAAAGGAAUCUUCUGUGUGUUAUGUUUUCAUGAUAACUCCUUUUGCUUGAGCAGACAUGUUAGCACAUUCAUUCAUCUGGUUUCCCUGUUGUUGUUCAAUUAACUCGUAUUCUACCUAGAUGAGCUUCCCAAACUGUCUUUAACUGACGGCGUAUUCAACUGAAAGGAAUCUUCUGUGUGUUCUGUGUUCAUGAUAAAUCCUUUUGCUUGAGCAGAUAUGUUAGCACAUUCAUUCAUCUGGUUUCCCUGUUGCUGUUCAAUUAACUCUGCAAUUUUCAAAUUGGAAUUCAUUUUUCCAUUUGUUGCAUUGCCGGUUGCUGUAUAAUCUGAUUCUAUGUGAUGCAGCGUGUGAUUCUG